AAGUCGUAACAAGGUCUCCGUUGGUGGACCAGCGGAGGGAUCAUUACUGAGUACUACACUCUCUACCCUUUGUGAACUAUUAUACCUGUUGCUUCGGCGGCGCCCGCAAGGGUGCCCGCCGGUCUCAUCAGAAUCUCUGUUUUCGAACCCGACGAUACUUCUGAGUGUUCUUAGCGAACUGUCAAAACUUUUAACAACGGAUCUCUUGGCUCCAGCAUCGAUGAAGAACGCAGCGAAACGCGAUAUGUAAUGUGAAUUGCAGAAUUCAGUGAAUCAUCGAAUCUUUGAACGCACAUGGCGCCUUCCAGUAUCCUGGGAGGCAUGCCUGUCCGAGCGUCCGUUUCAACCCUCGAGCCCCUGUGGCCCGGCGUUGGGGAUCUGCCACGGCAGGCCCCUAAAACCAGUGGCGGACCCGAAGGGCCCUCUCCUUUGCGCAGUAGCAUUCGCCUCGCAUCGGGAGUCCUCGGCGUCCUGCCUCUAAACCCCCCCACAAGCCCGCUUCGGCGGCACCAAGGUUGACCUCGGAUCAGGUAGGAAUACCCGCUGAACUUAA
rnacentral:rRNA from 1 species